GCAACUACAACAGUAUAGAUCCUGGCAAUUGCCACCAUAUUUAAUUCUUCAUGGUCAUAUCAAGUGGCCUUGGCCAGGUAAACCAACAGAAAGCAGGUAGAAGUAAAAGUACUAAGUAAAACCCAGGCACUGUGGGUCAUAAUUUUCCUGAGCCGACAUGGUAUCUUCAAGACAUCAGAAACCAGGAAAACAUAUGAGCAAUUUUCAGUAUGUAUAAAAAUAAUCAUGAAGGGAAGACAUAGAUAUAGGGAGGGUUUGCUAUAUAUUCUUCCAGAAAAGAAUAUGGUUCC